GAUUUUCCUCGGCGCUCGUUAGCCAUCUUUACUAAUGGCAGCCCGCGGGCGUGAGGCGGGCCUGAGGGGUACUGCGUGGUGUCACCGAGCUAGAUCAAUCGGUGGGAGAGAAACGGAAAGAUACCACUAUCUGACUACACUGCUCUGGCUUCAGAGACUGGAAAGCUGCAUCAUCUGUGUGAACCGACAUCACUAUCUCCGAAUGCAGAGCCACAGAGUGCUGGAGCUGGGAGGAACCUUCCGGAUCCCUCUGGGGCCGGACUGCUUAUCUCAGCAGCAGCAGCCCCACACCUCUGAGGCAACAAAGCUAGAAGCUCUCAAUUCAAGAUGGAGAAACUGAGGCCCAGAAAAGGACUCACAGCAAGCAUGUGAGUGGAGUCGCAGACCCUGUUCUGACCCUGUCUCAUGCCUUAUGCACUGGACUGUGCUGACGGUUAGCACGGGAAGAGUUGGCUUGUGACUGCUCGCCAGCCAGCAUCUACGGGAAUCUACCACUCGGGUUCUGGGCACUACCGUGUCGGUCCCCUAGAGCUGGCCUGAGGGCCAUCCUCUGGGUGUUGUGCUUACCCGUCCGCUGGUGCUGACACCCGUGCUCAGGUACACCUGGAACAGCAUCCAGAGCAGCGGCCCAGAGCCCCUUGCCGGAUACCCUGGCCACAGCUUCGUUGAGUCCUGCUCUGAGGAGGGGAGAUGAGGUACCAGAGGUGGCCAGGACCUGGCUGAGGGGGGCGAGGAGCUUGGGCUCAGCGUGAAGAUACCAGUGGUCCUGUGAGACCCCUGUCUCCUAUUCAGAGAAGCAUUCUUGAGUUUGAUCUUGGAACCUAGCAGGAAAUUCUGUGGUUGUAUCAGGGUCAUAGCUGGAGUGGGGAGCGUCUUAGGGAAGUUGAGGGCUGGUAAGUGCAGUCAUAGGUCCUAGCCCUUUGCAGUCCAUAAAUGCUGCAGUCUGGUGAAGGAGCCAGGAAUUUUAUACCCGUGCUACAGGAAACAGGCUUAGGGAGGACAAGAGGCUUGCUGAAGGUGACACAGGAAGUCAGAGACAAAGCCAAGCCAGACCUCUUUCCUGCAGAGUAGGUGGGGGCAUCUCUGCUGCUUCUGUCAUUCCCUGUGGCCUGGCUCAGUUCCUCAGGGGUGCCCCUGUUCUCCCUGGGCCAGUAUCUGAGGCCUCUGGGCAGCCUGGAGCCAGACCUGCUCCCAGGUACUGCCAAUGAACACAGAGCCAAGAGGUGCUUGAUCACAGGGAUGUUUCAGGAGGCCCACUGUGAACAGGCAGUGGCACCACUGUGUCCUGGGUAUGAGCUUCAGGGUCUGCAGAGCCCGCCUGGCACGAGGGUGGUAGCAUCAUGUGCUUUUCAGCCGGCCUGACCAUGCUGGGUAGUGAGAGACCAGUGCCCACACACGCACGUCCCUGGAUGAAACCAUGACCCAGUGCCUGCAAACAGGGAAGGCCCUCCACACACCCUCAAGAGAGAGUCACCAGGGCCCAGUUGGGCAACAGGGUGGGGAGUCUUUCCUAGCUUUAGAGCAGAGAGAAAUCUGUGGGUCUUGGUCCAUAGAUGUGUUUUACUUGAUCUACAUUGUAUUUAAAAUUUUUAGACUUCACCAUCAGUAUUUAAAAUGCAGGUGAUUUCACAUGAACACCCAGACUCCCAGCUUUCAAAAUGAGACACUUGGCAGCCCGUGGCCUGCCUCUGUGUGGAGCUGAUCAUGAGCUGGGGGCUGUUUGUCGCAUGUCCCCAGUCCUUGUUCCAGAAUCAGGCAGAUGCUCAGAGGGCUUUUAAUUCUCAGGAUAUUUUUGAAGUGAGCGUGACAACUGCUCUUUCCUAGGUUGGUAAAAUAACUGGGGAGAGACUA